GAUGAACGCUAGCGGCAGGCUUAACACAUGCAAGUCGAGGGGUAGAGGUUGCUUGCAACCUUGAGACCGGCGCACGGGUGCGUAACGCGUAUGCAACCUACCUUUUACAGAGGGAUAGCCCAGAGAAAUUUGGAUUAAUACCUCAUAGUAUAUAGUCUUCGCAUGUUGACUAUAUUAAAGUUCCAACGGUAAAAGAUGGGCAUGCGUCCUAUUAGCUAGAUGGUAAGGUAACGGCUUACCAUGGCAACGAUAGGUAGGGGUCCUGAGAGGGAGCUCCCCCACACUGGUACUGAGACACGGACCAGACUCCUACGGGAGGCAGCAGUGAGGAAUAUUGGACAAUGGGCGCAAGCCUGAUCCAGCCAUGCCGCGUGCAGGAAGAAGCAUCUAUGGUGUGUAAACUGCUUUUGUACAGGAAGAAACACCCCGACGUGUCGGGACUUGACGGUACUGUAAGAAUAAGGAUCGGCUAACUCCGUGCCAGCCGCCGCCGUAAUAC
rnacentral:rRNA from 1 species